UGAGUAUUACAUCAGGUACUGGUGUUUCAUUAUAACCAGUACAUGUGUGAUAUUCGUC
rnacentral:pre_miRNA from 1 species